rnacentral:rRNA from 1 species
UACGUAGGGCGCAAGCGUUGUCCGGAAUCAUUGGGCGUAAAGAGCUCGUAGGCGGCCUGUCGCGUCCGCUGUGAAAUCCCGGGGCUUAACCCCGGGCGUGCAGUGGAUACGGGCUGGCUGGAGGCAGGCAGGGGAGAACGGAAUUCCCGGUGUAGCGGUGAAAUGCGCAGAUAUCGGGAGGAACACCGGUGGCGAAGGCGGUUCUCUGGGCCUUACCUGACGCUGAGGAGCGAAAGCGUGGGGAGCGAACAGG